GGGGCGGGCCAGGGCUGAAAGCCGGGUGUGGGAAGCUUGGCGGUCCCGCCCAGUCUCCUGGACCAGCAGAGGACACGGGCGCUGCUGCAGCUGCAGGGAUUGGAGAUCACAACAGAGUCGUGCGGUGUGGGCCUGAAGUUCCCUCAGAAUAUCCACACAUCUCCCCAGCCCACCAUGGCAGAGGUGCAUUUCACUGGAGAUGCAGGGGCUUCCAGCAGUUCUCCUAUGCAGUGCUCAGCCCUGCACAAAAAUAGCUUCCUGGUGCUUAAAGGGGAACCAAGCAAAGUCAUAGAGAUGUCAACUUCCAAGACUGGGAAGCAUGGUCAUGCCAAGAUACGCCUUGUUGGAAUUGACAUUUUCACUGGCAGAAAACAUGAAGAUAUCUGUCCCUCUACUCACAACAUGGAUGUUCCAAAUAUUAAGAGAAAUGAUUAUCAAGGUGCAGUUCCCUCCUUUUUGAAGUUUCCAUUCAUUAUCCUUUGAAGGACUGGAUUUGUGGAAAGGAUAUGUUAUCCCUAAUUGCGGGAAGAGGCCAAAGUUCAUAUCAAAUAUUCAGAUUCGUACCAGAAAAACCACACUGGUCCCUGAGGGAUAAGAUUUACACUGAACUACAUAUUAACUGUAGUGAAGAAUCUGUGCUCAUAGUAGCUUCCGUUUUAAAGUAUUCUACUGAAGAUGCCAUGUACAAAUUACAUCCUGCUAAAACAGCUCUUCUCUGUGCUAUUAAAAUGAAAACCUCUACGAGGAAUCACUUAGACACCUACACCUUAUCUGUCUGCGUAGCCCCUCAUGUGCUGUGGGAUCCAACUUACUGAACUCAUGAUUUGAGAGUGACCUCCCAAAAUAGAUAUCUAUCAUACAUAUCAUGAUUGACAACUGUGUAGAUAUAUUUGGAUAGAAUAACAAUAUCGUUGUGACCAUAACCAAAAGAGGUCAGAUGACAUAAAGACAUCAGUAAAUACUGCUGCAGGGGAAAAUGAAACAACUUCAACAUAUAUCUUUUCACAAUGGAAAUUUCCUCAUGACUGAAGAAGUUGCUGGUCAUUUUAUUUCAAUGUUCCCUUCUACCUCCCUCUUAACCACAGCAGAAGCGAUUAUUACGAGAAACAACUUCAGUUUUAUAUUUAACCAUAUUGUUACAUAGUUUCACUCACUAUAUUUAUUUUAUGUUGU